ACUGACAUUUUUUUCUCAGCCAGUGACACAGAAACGACUGCUGCUGUGAGCGACUGUGCGGGAGCAUUGAUCUUCAAUGGAGGCGGCGCCGCCACUUGCUUCCUCACAAUCUCGCUUCUUCUCAUCUUCCUUCUCCACCUCUUCUUCUCCUUCAUCUACACCGUUUAUUCUUCACCGUAAUUUCCACAGAACCAACCUCAAAUUCAAAUCAAGAACCCUUUCAAUUCGCUGCUCCGGGGCCGCGGAUAAUGUCGUUACUCUUCUUGAUUACGGUGCCGGCAAUGUCCGUAGUGUGAGGAACGCGAUUCGCUUUCUCGGAUUUGAUAUCAAAGAUGUGCAAACUCCAGAAGACAUUCUAAAUGCAAAUUGCCUUAUUUUUCCGGGCGUUGGGGCAUUUGCUGCAGCCAUGGAUGUACUAAACAAGAAAGGGAUGGCUGAAGCUCUAUGUACUUACAUUGAGAAUGAUCGCCCAUUUUUAGGCAUUUGUCUUGGGCUACAGCUACUUUUUGAGUCCAGUGAGGAAAAUGGACCAGUGAGAGGUCUUGGCUUGAUACCUGGUGUUGUUGGGCGUUUUGACUCAACUAAUGGUUUUAGAGUACCUCAUAUUGGAUGGAAUGCUUUACACACAGUGAAAGACUCUGAAAUUUUGGAUGAUAUUGGAAACCGUCAUGUCUAUUUUGUUCAUUCUUACCGUGCCAUGCCAUCAAAUGAUAACAAAGAGUGGGUUUCAUCUACUUGCAAUUAUGGUGAUAAUUUCAUAGCAUCAGUCAGAAGGGGAAAUGUGCAUGCAGUUCAGUUUCAUCCAGAGAAGAGUGGAGAUGUCGGGCUGUCUAUAUUGAGAAGGUUCUUGUAUCCAAAAUCUUCCACAACAAAGAAACCAGGGGAAGGGAGGGCUUCAAAACUUGCAAAAAGGGUAAUUGCUUGUCUUGAUGUGAGGACAAAUGAUAAAGGAGACCUUGUUGUAACCAAAGGAGACCAGUAUGAUGUAAGAGAAAAUACAGGAGAGAAUGAGGUAAGGAACCUUGGCAAGCCGGUGGAGCUUGCUGGACAGUAUUACAUAGAUGGAGCUGAUGAGGUCAGUUUUCUGAAUAUUACUGGUUUCCGAGACUUCCCUUUAGGUGAUUUGCCCAUGUUGGAGAUAUUGAGAUACACAUCAGAAAAUGUUUUUGUACCAUUGACAGUCGGAGGUGGAAUUAGAGAUUUUACAGAUGCAAAUGGCAGGUAUUAUUCUAGUUUGGAAGUUGCUUCAGAAUAUUUCAGGUCGGGGGCAGAUAAAAUUUCUAUUGGAAGCGAUGCAGUUUAUGCUGCUGAAGAAUAUAUAAGAACUGGAGUGAAGACCGGAAAGACCAGCUUAGAACAGAUUUCAAGAGUUUAUGGAAACCAGGCAGUGGUUGUAAGCAUUGAUCCCCGUAGAGUUUACGUCAAUGCUCCUGAUGAUAUAGAGUUCAAGGCUGUUAGGGUGACAAACCCAGGGCCAAAUGGAGAGGAAUAUGCCUGGUACCAGUGCACUGUUAAUGGUGGGCGAGAAGGUAGACCAAUUGGAGCUUAUGAGCUUGCAAAAGCAGUUGAAGAGCUGGGAGCUGGAGAAAUACUACUCAACUGCAUUGAUUGUGAUGGUCAAGGGAAAGGAUUUGAUAUAGAUUUAAUAAAGCUGAUCUCAGAUGCUGUGAGCAUUCCUGUGAUUGCAAGUAGUGGUGCGGGUGUAGUUGAGCAUUUCUCAGAGGUUUUCAAGAAAACAAAUGCAUCUGCUGCUCUUGCAGCUGGCAUUUUCCACCGGAAGGAGGUACCCAUUCAGUCUGUCAAGGAGCACUUGUUAGAGACAGGCAUAGAAGUCAGAAUGUAACAUGAUCAUCACUGAUAUACCUUUUCAGUACUUCACAGCAACCAAAAAAAUAAAAAGCAAGAAAAACAAAGAAAAAUGUCUGAAUUAUGAUUUUGACCGAGCAUCUGUUUCAUCAUAUCCUUUCUGUCAUUCAAAGUAAGAUGUGCGACAAUAUCAUUUAGAACCCGAAUCACAUGGCAGGGUGCAGUACCAGUAGAAGCCCAAGGUUUGUCGGGUCUUGGUUAUUUGCCUAAGCAUUUGGACUACGUGAACCGUGUUCAUCAUUCAUGCCCGGUGACUAAAACAGUCCCCAAGUGCCUUCUAUUUUAAACUAGCCAUCUUUUUCAUGCCUUGAAGCCUCAGUGGCCUUUUUAACCUUAGAAAGGAAGAAUUCUCGGAAUUCCGGAGUCCCUCUUUUAUCUUAUUAGAUUGCUUCGUGGAAAUAGCAGUCUGGUCUAUGUUUUUAUCUUUGUUGUUGUGAUCGACUUGAAAUAUCAAACAAAAGCUUACGUUAAACUCCUAAUAUUCAACAUCUAAAUCACGUCCAUUACAAUACACUAGUGUUUUAAAUGUGGGACUGUGCUGGAAUUUAUAAUUUGAUAGAUUCGCUCAUUCAAUGCCCAUAUAUUCUUAAGU